AAAUUGAAGAGUUUGAUCAUGGCUCAGAUUGAACGCUGGCGGCAGGCCUAACACAUGCAAGUCGAACGGUAACAGGAAACAGCUUGCUGUUUCGCUGACGAGUGGCGGACGGGUGAGUAAUGUCUGGGAAACUGCCUGAUGGAGGGGGAUAACUACUGGAAACGGUAGCUAAUACCGCAUAAUGUCGCAAGACUAAAGAGGGGGACCUUCGGGCCUCUUGCCAUCGGAUGUGCCCAGAUGGGAUUAGCUAGUAGGUGGGGUAACGGCUCACCUAGGCGACGAUCCCUAGCUGGUCUGAGAGGAUGACCAGCCACACUGGAACUGAGACACGGUCCAGACUCCUACGGGAGGCAGCAGUGGGGAAUAUUGCACAAUGGGCGCAAGCCUGAUGCAGCCAUGCCGCGUGUAUGAAGAAGGCCUUCGGGUUGUAAAGUACUUUCAGCGGGGAGGAAGGGAGUAAAGUUAAUACCUUUACUCAUUGACGUUACCCGCAGAAGAAGCACCGG
rnacentral:rRNA from 1 species